GCCUUAGUGUUUGCAAAUAGUGGUAACUUACUGGCCAAGUUAAGCUUGCUUAAAACUGAGUUGUUUUUUUUGUCUCCCAAGAACUUACCUUUUGUGUCUACUCUUCCUCAGGUCUUCCUGACCUCCAGUCUAGGUGUCGUUCCUCUGGUAAGAUCCCAAGUAUUCCUGACUUCAAGCUCCCUCGCUUACUAAGCUCCAGCUGGCUGACUACAAGCUCCAAACCUCCAAACAACCUGCAAGUGAACCUACUCUACCCUCCAACAUGAGUACAGAAUCCACCACCAAGUGCACUCACCUCACUCUGGUGUCGUCUAUCCUGGAAAGGCAAUCCAAGUAUGUGUUCCUCCAAACCAUUCAUCUGAGGAUUUCAAGUCCUACCUGUGCAACAGACAUCCACCAACCUCCCAUGCUCCACUUCAUCUUUUCCCCUCUCUGAAGACUUCCUUCAGCUCCACUCCCUGGUGUGCUUCCAGUCCUAGGUCUGUUACCUGAAGUUAUCUGUUAAAGGAAAAUAAACUGUUAAUCCUU